CGAGUGGCGAACGGGUGAGUAACACGUGGGUGAUCUGCCCUGCACUUUGGGAUAAGCCUGGGAAACUGGGUCUAAUACCGAAUAGGACCACGCGCUUCAUGGUGUGUGGUGGAAAGCUUUUGCGGUGUGGGAUGGGCCCGCGGCCUAUCAGCUUGUUGGUGGGGUAAUGGCCUACCAAGGCGACGACGGGUAGCCGGCCUGAGAGGGUGACCGGCCACACUGGGACUGAGAUACGGCCCAGACUCCUACGGGAGGCAGCAGUGGGGAAUAUUGCACAAUGGGCGCAAGCCUGAUGCAGCGACGCCGCGUGAGGGAUGACGGCCUUCGGGUUGUAAACCUCUUUCAAUAGGGACGAAGCGCAAGUGACGGUACCUAUAGAAGAAGCACCGGCCAACUACGUGCCAGCAGCCGCGGUAAUACGUAGGGUGCGAGCGUUGUCCGGAAUUACUGGGCGUAAAGAGCUCGUAGGUGGUUUGUCGCGUUGUUCGUGAAAACUCACAGCUUAACUGUGGGCGUGCGGGCGAUACGGGCAGACUAGAGUACUGCAGGGGAGACUGGAAUUCCUGGUGUAGCGGUGGAAUGCGCANAUAUCAGGAGGAACACCGGUGGCGAAGGCGGNUCUCUGGGCAGUAACUGACGCUGANGAGCGAAAGCGUGGGGAGCGAACAGGAUUANAUACCCUGGUAGUCCACGCCGUAAACGGUGGGUACUANGUGUGGGUUCCUUCCUUGGGAUCCGUGCCGUANCUAACGCAUUAAGUANCCCGCCNGGGGAGUACGGNCGCAAGGCUAAAACUCAAAGGAAUUGACGGGGGCCCGCACAAGCGGCGGANCAUGUGNANUANUUCNAUGCAACGCGAANAACCUUANCUGGGUUUGACAUGCACANACNCCNGCANANAUGUNNNUUCCCUUNUGGCCUGUGUGNAGUGGNGCAUGG
rnacentral:rRNA from 1 species